CUCUAACGGUGGUACUCGAUGUGUACGAAAGUAAGGCAGACACCAACAUGGUUAGACAAAGCUUGAAAAGGAGGACAUCAACGCAUGAUGGUCUUCGGCUUGGGGCGCGGCUUCAUCUGAAUGUCAACGGGGAAGCUUGGCUAUGCACAACAUCGUCUGAACAUGAUCGGAGGGUGGCAAGAAGAAUGGUCACAACGACAGACAUACAUCGGCCAGG
rnacentral:lncRNA from 1 species